UGGGGGGACGACUGGGUAGAUCCAAAAAUUCAAAAACUGUGCGGGAGGACGUCCGAACGGACGACCGGGUAAAUAAAAAAUUCAAAAAUUAUCUAAUUUACCAAACAUGUUUUCAAAAUGUGUUUUGAAAUUAAUUUGGAAUCGUGAUUUGAAAACUUAAACUAAACAUAGCAUUAGAAUACAAGGGUGAAAUUAAUUUUAGAAUGUCAAACCAAACACAAUUUUUUUUUAAACUCAAAACUAUUUUCAAAAAUUAUAACAAAUAAGUUUUUUUGAGCACAAUUUAGAGCAUUUCAUCGAACACCUUGUGGGCAUCUCUUAAAACCACACAACUACAUGGGACAGUGAUGGUGCUGAUGUAGAAUAACAAGAAGAGUUGUCAAGGUAUAACCGUGGUGGCCAUUUCAUCGUUGGGGCAUUUUGUCGAACACCUUGCCGGUCUUGAAAAGCAUCGCUACCCUUACUGAUGAAGACCAUCACCACACUCAUAGGCACAACCAACCACCUCCAUCGAGCACCAAAACAAGAGUGUUUGUUUCCGAUUCGCAUCCACGAUUUCUACAAAUUGUUUAGAAUUCUCUUGAAAGUAGCACUUCUCAAUCCAUCCACAUUCUUUCAUGGAUUAGAAUACCUCCUAAAAAAUUGUCGAAUUCCCACCAAUUGCUUCAAAAUUCCAACAAAUUGAGGCUUUUGUUGCUUAAUAUAGUGAGUUUCGUGGUGUUGAAGACUUGGUUACCAAGUGUGAAAUUAGGGUUUCUGGAGGUUUUUCUGAAGCGGGGAAUUAUUGUGUUGGCUGCUACUGUUUUCAAAGAGCAAGGCUUGGUUUUGGCUGCGCUUCUGGGUCUCUCUGCAUUUUUUCUCCGUUGCUGAAACUUCAAUUACCACACUUUGGCUUUGGAAGGACCAAUUCCUCAAGGGAACCAGUUUAACACAUUUGGAAAUGAUUCAUACAGCAAGAACUUGGCUUUAUAUGGAUUCCCCUUAUCAGAGAAAUGUAAGGAACCACAGCCACUGCCACCUACACUAACACUCCUACAAGACGAAAAUUCAGACUGGUGAAGCGGGAUUGGCUAGAAUGUUGUAGUGAUGGGGUAUGGAUGCGGAUUUGUAUUUGGAAUGGUUAUGGGAUAUCUUAUGUUUGUAACUUGAAGACUAUAAUGGCUAAUGAAAAUAGUUGAAGGAAAACAAUAUAAGAAGGUGAAAAGGUCCAACAAGGGUGCACACUGAAGCAAUGAAAGAAUAAAUUAGAAAAAACAGGUGGCAUUAUGGGUAAGUGCAAUUUAUCUCUGAAGCAUUACUUUGUUGAUUAUCUUUUAUGGUUUCUAUCUAUAAGCUAUAUUUGAGUUACUAAUGAUUUUUAUUUCAAAACUAGAUAUGUUCCAUUUAGUAGCACUAUAAAGCAAUUGUAUCCACUUGAAGGAGUGUCUCACCUAACUGCUGCAUUUGAGUGUGUGUGCAUCCGGAUAGACGCUAUACUGGAUCACUUCAAAAGCUUUACCCUUGUUGUUGUAUUGAGUUCUAAAGCUUUGUUACGUAUUUUAGCUUUGUUUAAGGACGAGUUAAAUAUGAGUUGCAUGUCAUAACUCUUUAUUGUUUCUUUUCUUGCAUCAUUUAGCAGCCAUUAGAGAUUUGUACUUUUGUAUGUAAUUGUUUUUAAAUUCCACUUCAGUCACUGAAAACUUGGCCUUGCCAAAUUUUUUACUUUGAAAUGCAAUCUUUCAAGUUACAACUCAAA